UACAGAGGGUGCAAGCGUUGCUCGGAAUCAUUGGGCGUAAAGGGUAGGUAGGUGGUCUCAUUUGUCCGGGGUGAAAUCCUUGAGCUUAACUCAAGAAGUGCCCUGGAAACGGUGAGACUGGAGUCCUGGAGAGGGUCGUGGAAUUCCCGGUGUAGCGGUGAAAUGCGUAGAGAUCGGGAGGAACACCGGUGGCGAAGGCGGCGACCUGGGUAGAUACUGACGCUGAGGUGCGAAAGCGUGGGGAGCAAACAGG
rnacentral:rRNA from 1 species